AGGCCUGCAAACGCGACAACAGGUUUACCUUGAGUCUUCACAGCAACGAUUCGCACAGCUACUAACGAGCAAAUAUUUGGAUCUGUACAAAAGUGUACAGAUGUAUAGUAUGAGCACACCACAACGAUGCCUAGUAAGUAUCAAGACUAACCUUAGUGGAGUAGUAACGAGAAACAGUCAACACACCUACUGGUCUAAUCAAUUGAACAAGUAUAGUUAUAGGAACAACAAUGCAUGAUUUCUACAUGAAAACUACGCAAUAUGACUAAUAACAUUUUAUAAUAAGAAAGGGAAAACGGCAAGUAUCGUUGCAAUGCCAUAAUAAUGACACAGAAUAGUGAGCGGAAAUAGUAACUCGGCAACUACGAUAGCUUUCAAUUUUGAUUUUAGUCAACAACCUUCAUGAAUUACAGAACCUCGGAUAAAUUACAGCUCACGGGUCUCAAUACCUGAACCCUAACACUUGGCAUCCUGUGCUCCCAUCACAUCUCAUAAUCGCACUGGUGACUCACGUACCAAAUAGAGCCACUCUCACAUAGAAGGCAAGUAAACAAGAGUGUGCAUCCAUACUCAACAAUAUCAAGAAAAACUCUUAUCCGAUAAGGGUGAUCAGCUACGUGUAUCCUUGUGAAAGUGUCCUAGCUCAUUUGAGCUAGUAAGCAUAAGGAAAAGAAUGGACAACACGUACAAUGUUUGCAAGGGGAUUUCCCGAAUACAAUUUUGUAGUCCCAAAGUAAAUAUGUAUAACACGAGGAUCUCCUUGAAUAAUGUUUCGUAGUCCCAAAGUAAAUAUCCAGCGCAACCAACAACGUUAACAGUUACAGUACGACAGAAAUCUCAUGCAUCACCAUAACAAGUACAAUAACAACGAUGUCAAUAAUACGAAGUACGACAGGUAAAUCAACUCAUGAACCUUAAAUCACAAAGAAAUGGUAGAACCCGUUCACAGGAAUUAGCCAUAGUAAAGAAUGCUGGGUGUUAGAGAACAACUUAACAAGGGAAAACCAAAAUGUACCAACGAUCCUACACUACGCAAUUCAAUAACAAGGAAGCUAACACGGGUCAAAUGGUUCCAAAUAAUGCUAUGUCAGCUGAAAUAUAGGAUAUUUUCUUUAAGGUUGAGCAACUACGAAGGUUAUUCAACAAUUCGAUUAAGGAUAAGCGGCGGAAAGAUAAUCGCAACCUCAAUUAAGAUUAACAAUUAUAGGAUGACAUAAUAAUAAUUUUAGGUAAAGAUAGACAGUUAUGAAAAGAUAUCAUGACAAUAGGAGAGAUACAAAUCUUCAGUUAAGUCAAAUAAGAGUCAAAUAGGCAAUAAUAGUGAAUCAUAAAAUAAUGAAUUCCAAUUAAGAAUGUAGAGGUGAAACUAGUAAAUAGGAAACUCAGUCGAAUCAAUAACAACUUCAUACUCAAUGAAUAUAAGGACCUAAGAACCCUAAAGGACAACUUUCCACUAAUAAGUUCGAGUAUGCACUCAUCACCUUACAUACACGAACUAAAAUCAAUAUAGAAGACUCAAAUAUUAAGGAAAAAUUCCCCACAUAAGGUUAGGCAAUAUACUUACCUCAAAGAAGACAAACGAGUACUCUAAAAUGAACUUCUUGGGUGAAAAGACCUCCAUACGGCUAAAUCAAACCAAAUAACUUCAAAGCAAAAAUAAAACUCAUAAGAAACUAUUUCGGAUCAUAAAGUCUCAAUCUUUAACAAAAUAUAAAUAUUGGUCCAAAAGUCGACCCCCAGGCCCGCACCUCCAACCCAAUAAAUUUUACAAAAACCAAAUACCCAUUCCGAUACGAGUUCAACCAUACAAAAUUUAUCAAAUUUCGAUACUAUUUCUCCCUUCAAAUCAUGUUUUUUUUCAUUUUGAAAACUUUCUUCAAAAAUCACCAUUUUCCUCAACUUAAAAUACAAAUCAAAUGAUAAAAACAAAGGUAAAAUCAUGGAAUAUAUUAAAUUAUUGGUGAAGAAUACUUACCCAAUUGAUUUGCUUGAAAAACACAAAAAGAAGCUCCCAAAACCUAAGUCUAUAACUCAUAAUAUGAAGAAAAUGGUCAAACCCUCGACCUAAAUGUUUCUUCAAGGACUUCCACAUAUGCAGACACGCAAGUGCAUUUGCGGAAUCGGAUUUGCAAGAAAAGAGUUCAUAUCUGUGAAUUCACCUAACCAGGCCUGGGACCACAUCUGUGGAUUUACAAUGGCACCAGCGGCAAUGCAGAAGCGAAAGGGGAAAUUGCAAAAGCGAGAUAAAUUGUAGGUGUGAUCGUUGGACUACAAAAGUGACCUCCGCACCUGCACGCCAGCCUCCGCAGAAGCGAGAAAUCACCCAGUCCUUCAUGACCGCAUAAGUGGCUAGGCUCACGCAGAAGCGGAGCCGCACUGGCGCUCCAUGGUCGGAGGUGCAAAACACCACAACCAGACCUGUUACUGUGCAAAACAUCUGAAACUCGUUGGAAACAUGCCUGGGCCCCCCGUCCAAGCAUACCAACAUGUGACAUACCUUAACAUGGACCCGCUGGAGAUCUCAAAUCACAUCAAACAACGUUGAGUUUACGAAUCGCACAAAUAAUCGUACUUGUGAACUUUCACAUCUUUCAACUUCUAAACUUGCGCCAAGACCUUUCAAAUGAACCUAGAAUAACGCCAAAUUUUGCAGACAAGUCCUAAAUGACAUAACAUAGUUGUUUCGAAUCUCGCAAUUGCUUUCUAACCCUGAUAUCACAAAACUCAACUACGGUCAAACUUCUCCAUUUUCUAAGUUUCAACUUUUUCAACUUUCGUUGAAAUGCUCAAAAUUACCCUACGGACCUCCAAAUCCGAAUUCGGAUGCACAGUUAAGUCCCAAAUCACCAUACAAAGCUCUUGAAAUCAACCAAAACCCAUUCUGGAGUCAAUUACAGAAAAAUCAAAUUCCUAUUAAAUUCUCAUCGCUUAUGCUUCCAAAGCUAAAAUCUUUCUUCAAAUUUGACUCUAAAUCAUCCGGUAACUGAAUUCAUCCAUGUACAAAAAUAGAUAUACAUAAUAUGAAGUUGUUCAAGACCUUAUGCAGCCAAACAGAACUUACAUUCUCAAAAUUACCGGACGGGUCAUUACAUCCUCCCCCGCUUGAACAAAAAUUCAUCCUCAAACGUGCCAAGAUUCGCUUUGAAGUCAAAUCACUGAAUGCACACUUCCAACGUACCCUCGUGGGUGAUUCCACGUCACUCCAAUCUAUAUAAGCCUGACGACACCAUCUCAACUGCAAUUUAGCCUUUCUACCAACACCGAUAAACCUCAUACCCCAAAUUCUCACCUUCUAUUCAUUUCCAAAAGAUCUGAUUCUAAAUCCAUAUCUGGUAUCAGUAUCAACCAGUUUCAUCAACUCACACCCACACCCACAAGGUACAACCAUACAAUACACUACACAUAGGCCUAUAAUAAACUUUUUAUCACAAUAGAUGCCCGAAAUCAAAUCCAGCACCGGCCAUUAGACUCAUAUUCAUAGGGACUCAUUUUCAAACCUCCACAACACUAGCGAUGAUACAAGAACCAUGAAAACAUCAUAAACUAAACACCCCAAUCAACAAGUCACAACUAACACCUAUCACACCUCCUUUUUUACACCCCGAAAGGAAUAUAUAAGGGAUUUUUUUCCCAAUUUAAGUGACAAAGACAAUCAAAAUGGAAUUAUUUAUUUAAAAAUCUGACUCACCAUUUGGGAUAAUUUAUGAUGUCCUAAGUCACUGGUUUAAAAUCCCGAAUCGAGGAAGUUUGAUUCUAUUUAUGGUCUGCGAACACAGAAAUCUGGGUUAGAAAUUCUGUUAAACCGGGAGAAGGUGUUAGACAUUCCUGGGUUCCGUGGUUUUAGCACGUUCUCUUUGAUCAUACUUGGCUUAAUCAAAAUUUUCUGAUUACUCAUUUUAGAAUAUGUGCAUUGCCUCUUUUAAUUAAGAAAUUAUCUUAAAACAUGUCACACGUAUGUGCAUUUUUUUAGUGCGUCAAAACCAUGUCAUGUGUAUGUGUCCACAAUUAGUAACGCUUUUAUAUUACUAAGAAAGUUUGGUCGAAGUUGCACAAAUGUAUACUCCAAUUUUUAUUUUUAAAAUUGUAAUUAUGUCACGCGAAUGUGUCCACAAUCACGAUGGUAUAUUAAAUGUGCCUACAACUAACUAGGAAUAUCAUUUUUCACAACACUUAACAAGAGGGACAUAAGUUAUGAAAUCAAACAUGGGUUAACUUCUAAUUUCAAAUCUACAUAAUUCAUUAUACCACUUCACGAUAACAUUAUUUCCAAUGUCUAAGUUUUGUAGUUUUAUAUUAAAAAACCAACUCACUGGGAAGUGUCUUAAUAUCGUUAUGAGCAAGGCGCAGCUCCUUUAACUCGGUGCAGGAUUUGAGUGAAAAGUCAAUACCUUGUAGUUGGCAAUUAGAGAGAGACAAUUUUGUGAUUGAGUUUUUGGCCAGAUUCUACCAAUUCCAGAUAUUGGACUUCUAAAAAGGACCAAUGUAUUCAGCUCUUGUAUUUUAUCUCGUUCAUUGAUUUGAGCUUGUUUUUCCCAGCAUUCAGUACCUUCAAGAAAAUUUUUAGCCGCAUUCUUCUACAAUAAUUGUUUCAAUACAAAAUCUCCAAAGUGAAUUGUGAAACAAAAGAGAAAAAGGCUGAUGUUGAACUAACGACGAGAAACAAACGAAUCCUCGAACGAAACUACAAACCAAGAACAGAAGGCCACUGAUUGGAACUUCGAACUUGCGACAGAACCUCGACAGAUUGGAUUUCUCUACUGUUCACUCAAUUUUUUGGACUGAAAUUCCCCACCCCCUCUCUUACUCCCGUUCUCUCACUGCUUCUGCUCUGAAUUUUUGGCGAGAUGGCCGAUUGAAGAUUCAAAUAUGAAUGUGUGUGUUGGAUUGAAACUCGAAUGAAAUAGGCCGUUUGGGUUUUGUGACUGGUUGUGUUCGUGUGAGCUUGGUGAAGGGGGGAUGGCGUGAGGUUGGAAAUUCAAGGGUCUUUUGUUGGAGAUCGGCUGUGUCUUGUGUUGAACCACUAAAGAAGAACAAGAACGAGAGAGGGAGGGGUCUGAAAUUGUUAUAUUGCUGCUGCUUCUUCAGAUUCUCAUUUUUAUAUAUGUUUGUCCAGAUCUCGAAGAACGGCGGAUUUUCUGUGUAUAGGUCUAGGUUAUAUGUGAGGAUGUAUUUUUGUGUAUUUAAGCUCCUCUCUUUCGAGUGUAUAGGUCUCUCUUUUACUAGGGAUUCUAGGUUUUAUGUUAAAA
rnacentral:lncRNA from 1 species